ensembl:lncRNA
GGUCCUUUGCCGUCAUAUGGGGGUUUCGCAUGUCCCAUAUGUCACUAUUGCUAUACUUACAAGAUCCCACUACUGUUAUCUGGACUGAAGCCCAGUGUUGGCCCACUGAUGAAGGUUAUGAGACUAUUUGCCAUGUCAAAGUGUUUUAUCAGACAAUUCACUCUAAUUGCUUCAUACAACAGCCCAAGACACUAUGUGAACGAACAUAUCGGUGAUGAGCAACAAGUGCAAAUAAUAAAAAUGAGUGUUUGCACUGCAGCAGUUCCAUGAAAGGCUGUGGAGAGACGUGGAUCCGAACCCCAGCGUUUCACACCAGCCACACUGGAAAAUUACUGCAGGUCUGGCAGACACAGAUCGGGUUCACGGGUGACGUCAUGUCAGGCGUACGGCUCUUUAGCCAACUAGCUAGUCCAUUCUCCGCGAGCGGUGUGGUACAGCGCUCUGCCUCUGCCGUGCGGUUCGGUAGUUAUACAUCAGAACAUCCUUUUUCUUUUUUGUUUUUCUUUUGUUCCUCUUUUUGCGUAGCAAAAAUCUUCAAAACUGAGGUUGCGCCGGUAAAGCCCGGUUUUCCCCACCCCGCCCUUUGAUUCUUAUUCUUUUGAAGAUUCUUCGUUGUCAAGCCGCCAAAGUGGAGAGUGUGAUUGCAGAAGGGGGUGCUUCUCGUUUCAGGUGUGUAAUAGAUGUGUGUGAUUUGAGGUCUUCAAUCAGGCUGGCUACUCAUUGUUUAUACGUGGUCAGAAGUGCCUGUCUAUUUGAUAUCAAGACCUGCGAGUCUUAACACAUUCUUUCAAAUCUGUAUUCAUGUGCGCAUGUCUUUGGCCACGUUUUUCUUCAAAAAGGGAAAGGUGAUGUACUUAAGCCUGUCUUCAACUAUAAGGCACUGAGUGUAUUUACAUGCACACCAGUAAAACGGUCGUGGUCAGAUAUCUGCAGUUACCUGAUUACUCAAGCGGUCAGGUAAAUGGCGUACUUUAGUUUCUUAUGCUGGAUAAAUGCUGUUAGCGGAUUUCUAGAAACCAAUUAAGAGACCUGGAUUUUAGUUCAGGUUUACGUUACGUUUUUAUCAUCUCUUCCUCUGAUUUUAUUGGCAGUUGCAAAGCACAAAUCUGAUUAUUGCCCGACUUGUGUAUACUCUUGAGUUUUAGUAUUAUCUCAUUACCAAAGCCAGAUGCACUGAACAAGUUACUGACAAAAUCGGAUUUUCAGCCGUUGUCAGAUUAAAUGCAUGUAAACGUAUUCAGUGUCUCAUGGUGCUGAUGUGGAUUGUCUGUGCCAG